rnacentral:rRNA from 1 species
CGGCAGGGCGCAGCUACACAUGCAGUCGAGCGGAAACGAGUUAUCUGAACCUUCGGGGAACGAUAACGGCGUCGAGCGGCGGACGGGUGAGUAAUGCCUAGGAAAUUGCCCUGAUGUGGGGGAUAACCAUUGGAAACGAUGGCUAAUACCGCAUGAUGCCUACGGGCCAAAGAGGGGGACCUUCGGGCCUCUCGCGUCAGGAUAUGCCUAGGUGGGAUUAGCUAGUUGGUGAGGUAAGGGCUCACCAAGGCGACGAUCCCUAGCUGGUCUGAGAGGAUGAUCAGCCACACUGGAACUGAGACACGGUCCAGACUCCUACGGGAGGCAGCAGUGGGGAAUAUUGCACAAUGGGCGCAAGCCUGAUGCAGCCAUGCCGCGUGUAUGAAGAAGGCCUUCGGGUUGUAAAGUACUUUCAGUCGUGAGGAAGGGGUUGUCGUUAAUAGCGGCAUUGUUUGACGUUAGCGACAGAAGAAGCACCGGCUAACUCCGUGCCAGCAGCCGCGGUAAUACGGAGGGUGCGAGCGUUAAUCGGAAUUACUGGGCGUAAAGCGCAUGCAGGUGGUUUGUUAAGUCAGAUGUGAAAGCCCGGGGCUCAACCUCGGAAUAGCAUUUGAAACUGGCAGACUAGAGUACUGUAGAGGGGGGUAGAAUUUCAGGUGUAGCGGUGAAAUGCGUAGAGAUCUGAAGGAGUACCGGUGGCGAAGGCGGCCCCCCUGGACAGAUACUGACACUCAGAUGCUAAAGCGUGGGGAGCACACAGGAUUACAUACCCUGGUAGUCCACUCCGUAAACGAUGUCUACUUGGAUGUUGAUGCCUCCCCCCCGUCGCCUGUCUGAGCUAACGCGUUAUUAAACGGCCUGGGGGAGGUACGGUCGCCGGGACUAAUACUCAUAUGAAUUAAAAGGGGCCCGGCGCCUGCGUGGAGCAGUAGUUUAAUUAUAUGCUACGCCCACCAUCAUUACCUCCUGCUGUCUGCAGAGAAAUUACCGGCGUUUCUAUUGUGGCAUUCGGCACAAAAGAACAUGAUAUACAUGCCCGCCCUCUCCCUCAGGUUAGUGAUUGUUAGAGAAGGUGGAGUUCUAUUCCAACACCGAAGGCUAGACUACA